rnacentral:rRNA from 1 species
UACGAAGGGGGCUAGCGUUGCUCGGAAUCACUGGGCGUAAAGCGCACGUAGGCGGACUCUUAAGUCGGUGGUGAAAUCCUGGAGCUCAACUCCAGAACUGCCUUCGAUACUGGGAGUCUCGAGUCCGGGAGAGGUGAGUGGAACUGCGAGUGUAGAGGUGAAAUUCGUAGAUAUUCGGAGGAACACCGAGUGGCGAAGGA